rnacentral:lncRNA from 1 species
UGUUGUGUGAGGAUGGAACGGAGUUAGAACCAUUCCAAGCGAGUUCUUUUGGUAAUUGCUUUUGGUGUACUCUUUCCAUACAUCUGGCAGGGAAUGAAAGCAAACAGAAUUUUCUUCGCUUGGCCUCUGCCCUAAACGGGGUGGUUAUUGCACAAGACUUUAUUGUUAAGAUAUUUGAACAGUGUAUCACGUUUGAUGAUGCUUUGCAAUGGUCGAAAACUGUUUGCAGUACAGAAGACACGUCUGAAACCACAAUUAUGGAGGUUGUUCAUGAAAGUUAUGUUUCUGAAGUUAAGGAAACAUUCAGAAAUUUUAGGGACAGUGGGCUAUUACAGGUGUAUUUGGCCUCCAAUUAUUUAAGAAGACCGAUCAGGCAGUUUUGUUUGCUUCCUGGUGCCGACCAUUAUCGCAGUCG